GUCCUGGGGAGACAGCGGGAAUCGAACCCACAGUGUUCCGCUUACCGGGCAGAUGCCAUGUCCACUAGGCUACCCUGGA